GCCCCCGGCCCCUCACCGUCCCGCAGGGCUCUGCCGGCGGCUGGCGGCACUCGGGGCUGGGGCAGCUCUGGGCCCCCAGCCCGAGCACGGGGAGCCGCAGCAGAGCCGGGCCCCCCGGGACCAGGCCGGACAGGUCCGAACAGCACAGCAGAGGUGAGCGCUGGCCGGGAGGGGGUCACAGCGCAGAGCCCUGGCCCUGUGGGGUGCUCUCCAUUAAAGGGCCCGUUGGCCCCCUCACCCCCCAUUUGCCCGUCUCCUCCCCAGGGCCACCCUCCGCCUCGACACCCUCCUGCCGCCCGCAGGGCCGCUCGCGGCCGAGGCCAGGUGAGGCUCCGUGGCGAUGGCGGCUCUGAGCCCUGGCGCCCGGCCGAGUCCUGGCGAUGGCUGACCCAGGGCUCCGGUAGGGCGCUGCGACUGUCCUACCUGCGCUCCGGGGGACACGACCCGGCCGUCCUGGACCAGCUCCUCCAUCUCCAGCUGGAGGCCACGGUGCUGGAGAAAAGAACCGCAUGGCUGGGCAGGGGCAGGCGGUUGGGUAAGUGCCAACACCAGGCCCAGGCCUGUCCCCCCACAGGGACCGUGGCCCCACAGCCGGCUCCUGAGGUGCCCCCGGCUGUGCCGGCAGAGCCCCCCGGCACUGGCACACACGCUCUGGAUGCGGCCCUGCUAGCCGUGGAGCUGGAGAACCGGCGUCUGGAAGAUGAACUGUUGGCACUGAAAGUCAGGAGGGAGAGGAGAGCAGACGCUGGCUCGCGGGCAGCCCAGCGGCACACGGAGGAACUGGCCCAGCUCCAGGCAGAGGUGGGAAUGCUGCGAUGCCACGCAGAGCAGACGAGGCCAUGGCUGCACCCCCCCAUCCUCCCACCCCCCAUAGCCCCUCCACUGCCGCCAGCCCUGGCUGUGCCAGAACUUUUUAUGGAGUCCCCUGGGCCUGCGCUGGGGCCUGGCAGCCCCACAGCCCAUGUGUCCCCUGGACUCCCCCUCACCCCCUUUAUGGCCCUGGAGGACCCUCCUCCUGCUCAGGAGCCCCCAGAACAAGACAGGGCUCCCCAAAGGUGA
rnacentral:lncRNA from 13 species